UUGAAGAGCCCUUUGUAGCAGUUAGUUAGCAGCACUUUAGUUGGAGCCGCUGGAACUCCAUCACUGCCUUUUGAUUAUCUGAUGCCAAAGCUACUGGUGUGACUGUUUCAACUUUGUUUCUUGUUUGGAUUGACAGAGCUGUCCUGACAACUGCACCUCAGUUCAAGACAAAUGCAAGUGUUUAAACCUCACAAUGACGGCGAAGACGGCCUGUGACUUUCGGGAAUAUUUUGAGAAUGGCCUGAAAUCCCUGCUCUCCAGUUUUCCAAAGAAGCCUGAAAUCGUCAGAAUGCACAAAAACCUGCCACACUUGAUUAAUAACUGUAACAAAAACAACUUGUGUUCGAGGAAUGUGAGUUACACGCCUGCCAUUUCACCAAAAACAUUCCACAAAGAACUGCAAAAUGUGAUACAGGAGAUCUAUACUACAUCAUCAUGAUGUCUCUACGCUUCAAAUCAUGUAGUUUCUUUUAGGUGUUUUAAAAGUCAGCAUCGCAUUCAGGAAACUGGUGUCUCAAUUUAGUAGGCAUUUUGAGAUUAGAUUGGACAAUUCUGAAAUGUUUGUCUGGAUUUUCAUAGUUCACAGUAUGACAUAUGUAGUGAAGUAAAGUUAAACCACAAUUUUUUUUAAAAAACUUGUAAGACAGGUUUGGAGGAUUUCCUGAAAAGAAUCAGACUUUGAUUAUCUAAUGAAAAAAAUGAAUGGCUGAAAUAUCAGCAGGAAUAGGUACUCAACGGAGAGAUCAAUUUCUGAUUGUGAGUAAUUUAUCUAAUGAACAUGCAUCAUAUUUGAUCAAUAAUCACUGAUAGAUGCAGUGUAAUAUUGAUAACCAAACACAUCAAUUAGUGACUGGUGAAACAUUAUCUCUCAAUAUGCUUUGUGACUGACAUUUAGAUGCAUGACAGCAGAACCUAGAUGAUUUGAACCCAUUUGUUGAUAUUAAUGCAUGUUUGCAAAUGUAUUGUUUUACACCUAUUAUUUAUUUUAUUUAUUAUUAAUUUAUAAUUGUGUUAAAGAUAAAUGCUAACUGAUUUAGUCUUUUUUUGUCUCCAUAUGGGUGUGGAGAAACAUAGUUUGAAGUUGAACAAUGUAAAAUGAGAAUUAGUGUAUGAAGACUGAACAUUGU